CCAAUUCACAAGUUUCAAUUCUAACGAAUAGCAGUUAUUACGGCUAGCACCGGACGAUUGGAGAAAAUUUUUUGACUUAGAAAUUGCAGCAUCAUGUCUAGAGGAUCUAACAGUGACUGCAAGGUUUACGUUGGAGACCUUGGUUAUGGUGCCGCAAAGCAGGAGCUUGAAGAAGUGUUCCAGCGAUAUGGUCCGCUCAGGAAUGUAUGGGUAGCCAGAAAUCCUCCUGGAUUUGCCUUUGUUGAGUUUGAAGACCCAAGAGAUGUUGAGGAUGCUUGUAAAGCAUUAGAUGGCACGAGGAUAAAUGGUAGACGAGUAAGAGUAGAGCCAUCCAAUGGUAAAACCCGCUGGGGUCGUGGAGGCCCGCCAAGACGUGGAGGUAGGGGUGGUGGUGGUGGCGGUGGAGGAGGAGGGGUAGACGUGGUUACAGAGGAAGGUCAAGGGUCAAAUUUGCUGCAGAUAGUUUACAUGCCUCAUAAAAUCACUCAAUAUUCUUCGCUGCAAAGUUCGUCAAUGUCGCCAACAAGUGAAGAGGCAGUAUACAUCCCACACCUAGCCUCCGGUCUUCAGUCGUAGUCGACUAUGUUUUUAGUUGCUCCUAGACAAACUCUUCACAAUAAGGCGUCCUAUGGAUGGAAAAAGUGGCCAAAACUCAUAUACGUCAAAUUUCUGUCUGCUAAAUACAGGGCUGAUCUUCAAUCUUCAGCACAAUGGGUAUUCGACUGUUCUCCAAGAAUAAAUCCCACCUCUUCACAUAAAGUAAUAUGCUGCUAGCUCCGUCGGUGGAACAAGAUUGCUCUUCAAAAUUGCUUUUAGAUCAGCUGUUUUGUCGCUUAUUGACUGUAUUAGGGUCGACAAGAAUUUUUCAGUACCAGGCAAUAUUUUUUAAUAAUGAUCUGCAGUACAAAAUGUCGUCUUCAUCUGCCAACUCUUUAAAUCGUCCAGAUUGUGUACAUCCAUCCUCAUUUCUCCGAUGUAUGUCACACCUCCUCGUUCACCCCUCGAUGUUUUCUCGACUUGUUAUCAUUCUAAAAAUAGCACACUGCAAACGCACUUGGCUACGCUAUAUGAUCAGGUCAAGGUCACCAAGAAGAAGGUCACCAUCACCACGUAGAUACAGAAGCAGAUCCAGAUCUCCAAUCCGUAAACAUCAGUCUGUAUCAAAGUCCCCUGAAAGAAGGAGUACUGGUAGAAGAGAAUGGGAUUAAACUGUCA
rnacentral:misc_RNA from 1 species